UCCCCUUCUUCCAAUUUUGCCCCCCAAUUCAAUGUAUUACGUCGUCUACAACUGAACAACAAUGCUAGGAUGACUUAAAGCGUCGCUGCAAUUACCAAUUCAAUCAAUUAGGUCUCAUCAUUGAGGCUACCAACCGGCCACCUUCUUCUUCAUCUUCCUUUCGUUUCCUUAUUUAGUUAUGCUCAGAGUUACAAAUCUCACACAGUUCAUUCAAUUUUCAUCUUCAUUGCAAUUCCAGCAGAAUCGAUUGACAUACAAGAGAUCGUUAUUGCCUUUUCUGAUCGAAAAUUGACCGGUGAGAUUAGGGCUAAGAGAACUUGAUCGGAGAAGCAGACUACAGUAUGAGAAAAAGCCCCAAAUUGCAGCUAUCACGUUGGUUUUCCGAAAUCAACCCCUAUUGUUACAUCAGUUUACUUCCAUGGAUUACACUUGCAAGCAUUGAUGAUGUACUUGCGUCGCUUGUCUUUGGUUUAUGAUUUACUAACUCUUCUUAUAGUUUUUCAGUUUUUAGCAAGUUUGUUUAUUAUAUGUGGAGUUGAUCAGAAGUCGACUCUCUUGAGACGGAUUAUGUGCGAUAUACUAGGAAUCUACUAACAAAAUGUUGUAUCUUCUUUUUUUCAGGGUAAAUUAUCCAUAACAUGAUUGCAAAAGAUAAAAUGUGGCUUUUGAUGAUGAGAUGAUAAUGAGGACUUAUAAUUUCUACUUCUGUCCCCGGUUGUGCUUAUUCAUUUUGGUUAUAUAGAUGAGAUACGAAUGAGCCAACAUGCUCCCAUUAAUCCUGCUGUAACAAUAGUUCAUGCAACUGCUUACGCCUUUGAAAUUGGGAUUUCUUUCGCAAAAUGAAAAACACGCAUUGAGGCGGACAUGUGAAGAAGAAGCAAUGCGACGGUGCGAGACUUAUUAUAUCUGCAACUGCGGGAAUAAUCGUUGGAUACCUAAUCGGGAUUAAUUUUCCUUAUGUUGCUCUUACCAAGGUUCUUGGCUACCCUAGCUAAUCCCGUCGCGUAUUGUCAACUCCGCUGAAAUGCGCGGCGACUCUUAAAAGCUGCGAAAGAGAUAGAAAACCAACGACUUUGGUGGUCGUGCUACUCAACGGCGGCGAUAGAAGGUUGGGGUGUGUUCUCUUCUCCCUUCCCUUGAAUUUGCUCGAAUAGUAUUAUAUUUUAC
rnacentral:lncRNA from 1 species